GCGCCGCGGCUCACUAGGCUAAUCCUCCGCCUAGCGGCGCCGGCACACCGGGUUCUAGUCCCAGUCGGGGCGCCGGAUUCUGUCCCGGUUGCCCCUCUUCCAGGCCAGCCCUCUGCUGUGGCCCGGGAGUGCAGUGGAGGAUGGCCCAGGUGCUUGGGCCCUGCACCCCAUGGGAGACCAGGAGAAGCACCUGGCUCCUGCCAUCGGAUCAGCGCGGUGCGCCGGCCACGGCGGCCAUUGGAGGGUGAACCAACGGCAAAGGAAGACGUUUCUCUCUGUCUCUCUCUCUCUC